UUGUAACACCGGUUCUAGUACGAUCACCGAAGGUAAGCAACGUUGGGCCUAGUCAGUACUUAGAUGAGUUAUCGCUUGGGAAGACCAGGUGUUGUAAU